AGGGUAUAGACCCGAAACCCGGUGAUCUAGCCAUGGGCAGGUUGAAGGUUGGGUAACACUAACUGGAGGACCGAACCGACUAAUGUUGAAAAAUUAGCGGAUGACUUGUGGCUGGGGGUGAAAGGCCAAUCAAACCGGGAGAUAGCUGGUUCUCCCCGAAAGCUAUUUAGGUAGCGCCUCGUGAAUUCAUCUCCGGGGGUAGAGCACUGUUUCGGCAAGGGGGUCAUCCCGACUUACCAACCCGAUGCAAACUGCGAAUACCGGAGAAUGUUAUCACGGGAGACACACGGCGGGUGCUAACGUCCGUCGUGAAGAGGGAAACAACCCAGACCGCCAGCUAAGGUCCCAAAGUCAUGGUUAAGUGGGAAACGAUGUGGGAAGGCCCAGACAGCCAGGAUGUUGGCUUAGAAGCAGCCAUCAUUUAAAGAAAGCGUAAUAGCUCACUGGUCGAGUCGGCCUGCGCGGAAGAUGUAACGGGGCUAAACCAUGCACCGAAGCUGCGGCAGCGACGCUUAUGCGUUGUUGGGUAGGGGAGCGUUCUGUAAGCCUGCGAAGGUGUGCUGUGAGGCAUGCUGGAGGUAUCAGAAGUGCGAAUGCUGACAUAAGUAACGAUAAAGCGGGUGAAAACCCCGCUCGCCGGAAGACCAAGGGUUCCUGUCCAACGUUAAUCGGGGCAGGGUGAGUCGACCCCUAAGGCGAGGCCGAAAGGCGUAGUCGAUGGGAAACAGGUUAAUAUUCCUGUACUUGGUGUUACUGCGAAGGGGGGACGGAGAAGGCUAUGUUGGCCGGGCGACGGUUGUCCCGGUUUAAGCGUGUAGGCUGGUUUUCCAGGCAAAUCCGGAAAACUAAGGCUGAGGCGUGAUGACGAGGCACUACGGUGCUGAAGCAACAAAUGCCCUGCUUCCAGGAAAAGCCUCUAAGCAUCAGGUAACAUCAAAUCGUACCCCAAACCGACACAGGUGGUCAGGUAGAGAAUACCAAGGCGCUUGAGAGAACUCGGGUGAAGGAACUAGGCAAAAUGGUGCCGUAACUUCGGGAGAAGGCACGCUGAUAUGUAGGUGAAGCGACUUGCUCGUGGAGCUGAAAUCAGUCGAAGAUACCAGCUGGCUGCAACUGUUUAUUAAAAACACAGCACUGUGCAAACACGAAAGUGGACGUAUACGGUGUGACGCCUGCCCGGUGCCGGAAGG
rnacentral:rRNA from 1 species